GAGGCGGACGAGUUAGUAACACGUAGGCAGCUACCCAUCACACGGGCAUAACCAGCCGAAAGGUUGGCUAAUUCCCGAUAGUUCCCGCAAGGGUAAAGGAGCAAUCCGGUGAUGGAAGUGCCUGCGGCCUAUCAGCUAGUUGGUAGGGUAAUGGCCUACCAAGGCGAUGACGGGUAGGGGAUGUGAGAGCAUGUUCCCCAACGAUGGGACUGAGACACAGCCCAUACUCCUACGGGAGGCAGCAGUCGAGAAUAUUGGUCAAUGGGCGAAAGCCUGAACCAGCGACGCCGCGUGCUUGAAGAAGCCCUUCGGGGUGUAAAGAGCUUUUCUGUUUGAAUAACCCCCCACCAAAGUGGUGGGGGGUGAAGGUAAAACAGGAAUAAGGAGGUCCUAACUCUGUGCCAGCAGGAGCGGUAAGACAGAGCCUCCGAGCGUUAUCCGGAUUUAUUGGGCGUAAAGGGUCCGUAGACGGCUAGGAAAGUCUCUGGUUAAAUCCCAGGGCUCAACCUUGGGGGUGCCAGAGAUACUGCCUAGCUAGAGGGCGUUAGAGGCUGAUGGAACGGUCGGUGUAGGGGUGAAAUCCGUUGAUAUCGACCGAAACACCAAAGGCGAAGGCAUUCAGCUGGGACGGCCCUGACGUUGAGGGACGAAAGCGUGGGUAUGGACAAGGAUUAGAUACCCUUUUACUCCACGCCCUAAACGAUGGACACUGGCUAUCUGAAGUGUCGACCCUUCGGGUGGCGAAGCUAACGCGUUAAGUGUCCCGCCUGGGAAGUACGACGGCAACGUUA
rnacentral:rRNA from 1 species